CUGAGGUCCGAUGCCCAUGCCCUCCAGCCAAAGCUCCCAUGGAAUCAGCUGCCAAGCAUCCCCUGCCUUGCCUCAAGGAAAUACUUAAGACUUCUAACCUGCUGAGCUGUAUGAGUGAAGACAGUGGUCCCCAGGAGAAGCUUCUCUACAGGGCCUCCAUACACACGCUUUCAUUUUUUUUUUUCUUUUCAUUUGAGACAAGGUCCCUCGAUGGCCCACAUUGAAACUAGCUGGCCAGGGAACUCAGGGGAAUUCCCUUGUCUUCUCCCAUCUUGCCAUCUCUGUGAUUACGAGAGAACCACAAUGCUGGGUAUUUUUAUUGGAGAUACUGGAGAUCUGAAUUCAGGUCCUCAUGCUUUCGAGGUAAGCUCUUUACCAGCUGAGCUAUGUCCUGGGUUCUCUUGUCCUCCACUCUCCUCUACCUACCCUCUCUCUUUUAGGGGGAGGGCAACUUGCUUGUUUUUGUUGAAAGAGUGGGUCUCACUAUAGUCAGAUCUGGCCUCAAACUCCCAAUCCUCCAGCCACUGCCUCCUGAGUGCAGGGACUCCAGGCCUGCACCACCGCACUUGGUUCCAUUGGAGACUUCUUGAAAUGUCUUUUUUUCUUUUUCCUUUUUUUUCCCCUCCUUGAGACGGGGUUUCUCUGUGUAACCGCCCCAGCUGUCCUGGAACUCACUUUGUAGACCAGGCUGGACUUGAACUCUGCCUCCCCGAUGCUAGAGUUAAAGAGCUGAGGACGGAACCCAGGGCCUUGCGCUUGCUAGGCAAGCACUCUACCACUGAGCUAAAUCCCCAACCCCUAAUUUUUUUCUUAAUUACAAGUUUUUGUGUGUAUUUGUGUGGGGGGGUGCAUGCAUACCAGUGUGAGGGAGUCUGUUCUCCCUCAUGUUAUCAGGCUCAUCGACAAGUACCUUUUACCUGCUCCACCAUUAACCAGCCAUCCUUGUACAUUUUGAGCUUCUUACUUCAGACUUAAUUUGCAAUGGAAAAUAUAACAGAAUAAUAAAUGAAAGUUUGGAUUUGGA